UGGCCUCCCAAAGUGCUGGGAUUACAGGCAUGAGCCACCGUGGCUGGGACCCAAAUGAUUAUUUUUAUUUUUGUAGAGAUGGCAUGUUACAGAGAGCUGGAGUUUUAAUUAUCUAGUUAGAUAUUCUUACCUCAGCACUUUUCUCUUUCUCAAUCCCAGAGAAUUUUCUCUACAUGUGCACCCAUUUAAAGGACUCGGCUUCAAGGGAAGCAGCUUCCACCGCAUUAUCCCCCAGUUCAUUUGCCAGGGCAGUGAUUUCACAAACCACGGUGGCACCAGGGGUCUGCGCAGGCAUGGCACUAAGUGUCCCAUGGCACAUUUGGCCCUCAUGGAGGCCUCAAAAGGGCAGGACCAGCACCCUCUUCUACGGAGGAAGGAACGGGCACAGCAGGUACAUGAUGUGGUCAAAUUAACAAGAGGCAGAGGCCGGGUAAGUGGCUCACGCCUGUAAUCCUAGCACUUUGGGAGGCUGAGGCAGGAGGAUUGCUUGAGCUCAGGAGUUCAAGACUGGCCUGGGCAAAGUUUAAGACCGGCCUGGGCAACAUAGUGAGACCUGGUUUCUAUAAAAAAUUUAAAAAUUAGCUGGGUAUGGUGGCGUGUGCCUGUCAUCCCAGCAACUCGGGCUGAAGUGGGAGGAUUGCUUGAGCCCAGCAGGUUGAGGCUGCAGUGAGCCAUGACACUGCCACUGCACUCCAGCCUGGGCGACAAAGCAAGACCAUGUAUGUCUUUAAAAAAAAAAAAAAAAAGGCAGCCAGGACCUGAUGCCAGGUCGACUUGGCUCCAAAACCUGCCCUCUCCUUUUCACAGCCUCCUUUCCUGUGAAAUAAUAGGGAAUUUCUCUAAAGCGCAUCGCCCGGUCCCUAUGUAAAGACAAAGAAACAGGACUUUGCACGCUCACCUGGCAUUAGGGCCAGCACUGUGCUGCAGUUGUGAAGAUGGCCACUGGGUUGGGGGUUGUUCUGCACCAAAUGGCCCCAGACUCCCUGUCAGUGGCUACUUGUUGCAGCCAGUGGGCCUGAGCUGACCACCCUUAUUUAUGCUCCUGAUGUGCAGCCUUGAAUGCAUCCUGGGCUGUGGGAGGCAACCAGGCCAGAAGAUGACCUUGAUAGCUGAGCACUGACCCUUCAUCAGCUGUGUGUCCUUACGACCUCCUCCCUUUCUGAGGCCUUCUGUAUGUGAUGUCAUUUGGUGGGUGGCUAAAGUUGCUAGAAGUCUGGCCACCAGGAAGGCCACGACUGUCACACUUUGUGCUUUGCUGCAUAAAAAGGGAGUCUCAUCAUGAUCCUCAGGCCUGCUGUGCACACCUGAUGGGCAUAGCAGCGUUUGCGUCUUGAAAACAUUCAUUUCACAAACUCCUAGCACACCCAAACCAUGCCAGGUUACACACUGGGCACUGAAGAGACCACACAUUUGUCAGUUUCCGAAACUCUACUGCCCAGUAUUGGAAGAAGAGAGCUGUUAAAUCAGGUCCUGCAAUGGCAGAUAGGCCCCAAGUCCUAUGGCAGCAGGGGGCUCAGGCCAUGUCUCAAGCUCUGGGAGAAGGUCAUGGGGGCAGAUGGGUUCUCUGGGUUGGAAGAGCCUUUGGAAUUAAAGAGUCCUAUGUCCUCAUGUUGCAGAUGAGAAACUGAAGCGUGAAUAAGAAAGGGGACUUGUCCUGACACCAAGUCAGUGGCUGAGUUGGAACCAGAAUACCUGUCUCCUAACACUCAGGCCAUUGCCUCUUCCAAUCUCUGCUAGCUGAGCUUGAAGCCUUAGACUAGUGGGGAACUCACCAUCUUCCAGACAGCCUGGGCCCACCCUUUAUGUACAUGAGAGGGUCUCUUCCUCUGCGCUUGCACAUGGAGGCCCUCCCUGGUCCAGGUGGAGGGGCUGCUGUCCCGCAGUGUGGCCCCAGCCUCCACCCCUGCUGCUGGACCAGCUCUCCCCAGGCCCCUCCCUGGGGGUGCAGCACGUGAACUCCAGAGAGGCGCAUCCUUGGGCCCAUGGGGAGGUGGAACCACUCUGCCAGGCUGUGCCUGUGGAUGGGGCGGGCCCAGGAUCUGCUUUUAAUGACACGGUUUGGGCAGCUGGACUCUGUCUGUUCCAGCAGGUAAAUUACAGGCUUAGCAAGUCAGAAAUCAAAUAAACACUCCAACUCCCAGUGGCUGUUCCAAGGAGAACAGCGGUUUCCGGGAACAGUGGAGGCCGAGACAAACCUCCCCACCCAACUCAGCCUAAUUACUGCCUGUCACUCCCUGGGACAGGGACCUUUUCUUUGACUCACAGACCCAAGACACAGGACAGCGCUGGUGGGCACCCAGGGUGACGCCAAUUUUGGUGGCCAGCUUGUUCAUAACUCCUAGACACAAGCAAACACUGGCAGUCCCCACCCUUGCCCCAUGCCUGGCCGGAGACUGCCAGUCACCCUGCUUUGGAUGGAAUGGAUUGCUCUGCAGUGGGGCAGGAGGGGGAACUGAGGUCUUAUUGACAAUGCCUGGUGGUGGCUGUCUGCAGUUCUGUGCUGAGGCCUGGAGGCCCUGUCCUGGUUCAGUGGGAAAGGUACGUAGGUUGAUUACUGACAUGAGCCAUGGGCAAGGGGAGCAGGCUGCGGGGGCAUUUGCUCUGUGCCAGCCUACACUACAUGUUGGAGCUGCUGGUCUUGCCUCUGUCUCAGUGCUGAGCCCCAAAUGGGUCAGCAUGGUAGAGAUGGUGGAGGGAACUGGAAGCCCCCAGGAUUCUUUGCUCCUGUGGGAGUCAUACCUCUUUCCCAGGCAGGAGAAGGGGCAGGCCCAGGGCAAGGGAAUACACAUGACAUAAAAUAUCCCCAGUGGCCAGGCACGGUGGCUCAUGCCUGUCAUCCCAACACUUUGGGAGGCCGGGCG
rnacentral:lncRNA from 10 species